ACAUCCAGUGGGAGCCUGACUGUGCGCCUGGAUCUGGUCUUUCCCCGAGGGUGACAGGGAGGUAACCGCACGGCUCCCAGUCAGCUCUCGAAUGCGCAAGGAAGCAGGGACACCGGUGCCGCCACGCUGCGGUGUUGGGUCUGCAGGGGUAUCAGUGCGUUCUGACUUAGGAUGGGUUUCUCCAGGGAGAAAUCUACCACCAGCCCAGGGGCAUCGGUGCUGCUCUGCGGAGGAGCUGUGGAGAGACCGACCCUCACGUGCCACUCAGGAGCACAGGGAGCUUUGGCAGCAGUGAACACUGCACCCUGUGCCCUUGCCUUUUGCUGCUGUGAGGCUGCUUUCUGGGAGCCUUUUCCAAAACACGCUGCAAAACCCCAAAUAGCGCAAGAGGACAGCUCGCUGCAGCAGUGCUCACAGAACUCCGAAACGGCUGGUGCCGGAGGCCCCCAGACUACCGCACGAAGAAAAGAACUUUCUGCAUCCUUUCAAACCCUCCCUUUAAUGGAGAGCACGGAGUCUCCCGGUAUC
rnacentral:lncRNA from 1 species